UUUAGAGCUAUAAAGCCGCCGUGGAGCUAAAUCCAGAUCAAGCACAGGCCUGGAUGAACAUGGGUGGAAUCCAACACAUCAAGGGAAACUAUGUGUCCGCAAGAGCUUAUUACGAGAGAGCUUUCCAGCUGGUUCCAGAUAGCAAACUGCUGCAGGAAAAUCUCGCCAAGUUGGAUCGCCUAGAGAAACGAUUACAAGAAGUUCGAGAAAAGGAUCAAACGUAGCAGCGUUUGACCCAGUCUUGAAGAACAGUGCUGGUGCCUCUGGAAGCGGAAGAAGAGAUGGAGGCUUUCACCUCAGCAGGGGCACAACAGAGAAGCCUUCCGCUCGCUCGCUCUGAGUUCAGGGAGGCAUGUUUUGGGACGCCCGCUGGUAACCCUGUGCUGAGGGACUCGCAUUUCCCUGGAAGAAGAAAGAGCAAGCAAGGGCUAGGUCUGAGAGAAAGUAAAACAACUACUACGCAUUUUGCAGAUUUUUGUUGGCUUUAAUAAAUAACAGGUUUCCCUUCAUCUAUUUCUCUGCUUUUCCAACCUAAGAAUCUAAUUCCAUCUCUUAGUGUAGACUUUUAUGUCCCAGAAAUACAGAGGCUUGAAAUGCUAUGAAGGCAGAGUGGCUCUUCUUCAUGAGAUGAGAUAUGUCAAAGACGGAAAAAAUCUCUGGGAUAAACCAUUUGGGUAAUUCCACCAAGAGGUAGCUCAUUUAGUUCUCCAGAACUAGAGAUGAGUAGCUGGUAGUUUUUGUAGAAUCUUUUGGAAUAUAUGGGGGAAAGGGAUGUUGCUAAGUGGGCUUUGUCUAAUAUCCCCCCGAGGAUAUUGCUAGAGCCCGAUUGAAGAGUGAAUUAAAUUCCACUCUGAUGCAGACUUUCCCCAUUGCCCAAGAUACCAAAAAGGAAGCUUCUGGAAUUGUGUAUGGGUGUUCUUAUCCCUGGGGGAAAAUCAAGGAUCUUGGUACCCCUAAUUCUUUAUGGAAAUGUUUAAGAUUAUUUUAAUUUUAUUACAAGUAUUACUAGAGUAGUGGUUCUGCUCUAAGAUUUCAAAAGUGCUUUUAGAAUCAUAAAUGUUUCUGACUCCACAUAUAUUGUUACUUCGGUGGAGAAAAAAACAGUAUAUUCUACAUGAGAAAUAUUAAAGAUAUUAACUAAGAGAAAUGUUCUACUUUGUUAUCUUAACAUUAGUCAUCCAGAGAUUUAUUAUUUUUUGAAAACUAUAUUUAACCAUUGAAAAAUCUGUACAGUAUAUCACAAAAAUCUUCAUAGACUAUAAACAGAUGGAAGAGGAGUUCUAUUGAUUUGUCUACUGAGGCUUAAUGAGAAUUCUAUGCUUUAGAACAUGAGUGAUGGAAAUCCGGAAUUCUUGGUUCUGUAUUUAUAAUUUUGGAGGUUUCAUGGAGAAUACUCAAAAAAUCUAGGGGAGAAAAAAGUCUAAAUUCGUAAUUAUAAAAUAUAUAUUUAUAUUGAAAAGAUAGAGGCCAGCAAAGUUGAACUUAUAAUUUGACAUUUGUUUUUUAGUGUUAUUUAUUUCAUAACUUAUAAAAUAUUUAAUAUAUAUAUACACACACAUUUUUUUCUCUGUACAUAGUGGUUUUAAUAGCAGCUUUCAGAACUGAUCAUACAAAAAUUACAAAUCUGAAUUACAAAGUAAAGUUUUAACAGCCCCUCAAAAAAUUUGUAUUGAUUAUUCACUUGCUAAAGCUAAAGAAAUUAGGAAGCAGACGUCAGUGUUUGGGUGGUAAUAUAUUUUGGAAGUGAAGAAGUUGGAACACCUGAUUCUAAUUUGGUCAUCAUCAUAAAUUUAAAAAAAAGGAAGAAGAAGAAGAACCACUCUGGGGAGUGCUGUUUGCAGGCUAAGCCAGGUGGCCUGCAGAUGUAAUAGCCUGAAGGCGUUCGGAUUGCACGUCCUCAGGCCAGGGCAGGGUAAAAAGCGUGCUUCUUUUCAACACUGCUCCUCUGUGUUAUUUUUUUGUCAAGGUAAGUCUAGUUAAAAGAACUUCUCUAGAAAGGGAUGAUGCAAGGAAUAUUUUGAAUGCAAAGGAUUCCAGAAUUUGAAUUAGCACACAUGUGUUUGUGUGCAUCAAUAAUCCAACAAUGUAGGUAUUGCCACUACGAUCUUCUGUUUCUAAUAGUCUUUUAACCGUAUAGAUCAUAAAUUUAUCCAAACUUUUGCUUAAAAUAUUUUCAUUCUCCUCAAAAUUAUAGUUUUAUGGUCCUAAGGCCAAGAAAUGUACUACAGUGUUCCUUUUAAAUGAUCAGUCUACCCCCAAAUUGGAAAAAACAAACACACAAACAUGAAUCCCUAGCUAAAAACAGUAUCUGAGACUUUAAUCACAACUUUUUAGAAUAAUCUGUAACCAAAACUCCCACUUAGGAAGUUAAUGGAAAAGACUAAGCCCCAAAUUUUGAAAAGCAAUUAUGCCUUACUUGAAGUGCUGCUAAAGGUAUGAGGGUACAUUAGUGGGAAUGGUUGAAAUGGCGGUUACAGCCCAAAAGUUCCUGAGGGAAGGGGUCACAUGGCCUUCAGGAGACUUGAUCUACCUUCUUUUGGGUGCUUUUCUCUCUCCCCACGUCCUUCUGUCUGUACGUCUCUCUCUCCCUCCCUCCCUUCUCCCCACCCCCCUCAACCUCCCUUCAUUCUGACCCUCCCCCUCCCUUCUCACUGUAGCUCUAGCUCCUUCUGUGAGCCCCUGGCAUCUCUUUGAACAUGCAAAGUAAACACUUUGUUGGGUCAGAUAUUUUUAUCCUGAUUUAAUAAUGUCACUGAGAUGUAGCCAAUGAAAUAGUUCUCAUAGUUAAAUGGUGCCUAUAAGAAAAUAAAUCACAUAUUAUUUUUCAAAGAUAUUAAGUGUAUUUUAUAACUAUUUUUAUUUGGUUCUUGUAACAUGAAAUAAUAUGUGGAAUUCAUUCUUAUCAGUAAAAACAGAGUGCCCUGGCUAGUUGUGGAGAUAUAUCCACAUUCCCCUAAUAAAAGUGUGCUUGGCAAGAGAGCUGAUGGCCCCUUUCUGACAUGGAAUCGCAGAGCCAGCUUCAUGGGUUUUCAGUUCAUGUGGUCCUGCACUCAGAAGCCCCCUAUGCUUGGCUGAAGGCUCUGCUUGAAAGUCUUAAUAAUUUUUGAAUGAGGGGUCCUGCAAAUCUGUUUGCACUGAAUCCUUAAAUAUAUAGGGUGUCCUCAGUACGAGGGAAGUUGGCCGAGGGCAAGACAGGAGUUGCUUUAGUCUGGCUGAACCCUUGAUCCAAUGAUCAAGAGUUUCAUUUGUGACUCUGUUCCUCCGAGAACACUUGCUUUAUUUUCUUGGCUACAUUUAGAGUUCCUUGUGUAUAUAUAUCCCCCACUUACUGCCAGUCUAUCUAAACUGUCCUUCUGUCCUACCUAGAACCAGCCCUCCUUGCCUUUAAAAUUCCCAGUAAGUGGCAGUCCUUUGACAUAGGAGCCAUGAGAUUGGCUUUACAAGUUUAUUUCAACCUUAAGAAUUCUUCAGGAUUUUUUUUAAGUGAUACAGAUGUUUUCAGUCUGUUAAUGGUAUUCACAAAACACAGUUCAGCGAUGUAACAUAGGUAAACUAAACCAAAGAUUCAAAUACCUUGGAGGAAAAGAAAUUUUAUUUUAGGGAAUCCUGAGAUAUAUUCUUUUGGGUCUGUUUUAAAGUUCACCACAAAACAAAGAGGAUCGCCAGCACUUUAAUUACAACAUCCUAUAGUACAUCACAGCCCCUAGCAGGAGACUGUGACAUUCGUCACAGGUCAUACCUCACUUGAUGCAGGGGUUUGUAGUGGUUGCACAAUGCUUUUCAACAAGACUAAAUGAGAAAAUCCAAACUGUUCUAUACAAACCGACCUGCAGAAACUAUCAUUUUAGGGGGAAUAAAAAUAAAUGUGUGGUUUCUUAUUGUCUCUACUAAACAUUCCAGGCCCCAUAGAUCAAAGAGCCACAUUCAGCUGAUAGUUGAGAACUGUUCCUUCACACACAGGGGCUCUCAAGCCUGGCUGGACUGCGUAAUCCCCUGGGGCCCUUUGACAGUCUCCGAGGUGCUGGCCGCCCAGGUUCAGAUGCUAAUAUGCAGCGAGGCUGGAGAACCACUUGCAGGCUAACAACUUCACUGGAACUUUUAUGAGUUUUAUAAUCUUCCUUGAGUUUUACUUUUAAAUCUAGACUAAAAUGAGCCAGAGAAUUCUAAAAAAUAAUUUAUGGCACAGAUGACUGGCUGAGACUAUUGUUUCAAGAAUGACAGACAGGUGGGUUGGGUGGGGUGUUUUGCACUGGUGGCAAUUGGACUAUAAUUUGACCUUACAUUUUCCGAAUUCUUGGUUCUCAGAGGGAGAGGAAUUACCAUUUGUAUACACCAGACAAGGCUCCCAGUAUGUAAAACUCACGGUGUGCAUGGCAUAGAGUGUAUGCCUAAAACUUAGGUCUCUGUUUUGAUUACACACAUGUCAAUUUUUGCUAAUUAUUUCUUAUUGUACUCAUUUUUAGAAUCUGUUUUUGAGGGAAAAAUGGAAACCUUUGAUCUGAUGUGUGAAGGAUUUGCAUCUUAGAUUAAUAAAUCUAUAGGGUAUUAGUAACAACAAUCAAAGCAAAUGUAGUUAUGGGUGGUUGGUUGGUUUUUAAUUUUUCACCUAGUUUCCAAAUCACAUUUACUUUGAUUAAAUUGCAUGUUGGUAUUUCACAAUAAUAGGAAAACAUAACUAUCUGACAUCUUUUGGCAUUUUAAAAGAAUAAAUACCUGUCAAAUCUUGCAUUUAGGCUGCAAUUGAGUGAGAUAAAAGCUUACAAUGCCAAAUAUAUAUAUGGACACAUUAUAACUUCUUAUGAUUAUUCUUGAAGUUUUGAUGUAAAAGAAAAAUACGUUGAACAGUUCUUCAAAAAAUAACACUUCCUUCAUUAUUUUUGUUUUUAGUAGCCAUUAACUUAAAGAGAAUAAAAUAACUGCAAUCAAAGGAGAGCUUUAAUAUCAGCAAAAUAAAGUGACAACAGAAUUGAUGAUUUUCCUGUCUAUCAAAUGGCUCAUAUAAAAAUGUGCUAUUUUGAUCACCAAAGAUCCUUUCAGUUAAAACCUUUUAGGGUGUGUAGCUCAUAAAAUCAGCAUCCAUCAUGAUAAUGGUCAUUAUAAGUUCGUAAGUUUAGAUCAUCAUUUACCCCAAAAUGGAAAGUUAUGUCAAUGUCCAGAAACCCAGUAGUUUCUUCCCAUUCUCGGUGGUGCAGAUGGUGUAUGUUUAUGUCACGUUUGGAAGUUUCCAAUGUGCAUAACAUCCUUUUGGGGUUUCCUUGCUGGCCCAGAGGAGGGGUGCGCCAGUCCCAGAAUCAGGAAAUCUGGGUGGUAGGCCUGUUCGGCCGCGGAGGAGCCGCCUCACCUUGGGAAGGUUACCAACUGUCUCAGCCAUAUCUGAAACCAGAUUGAAAGCCCUCUACCUCUGAAGAGGUAACUGGUUAGCGUUGCCCUUAGUUUUCCAAAUUUAAGAUAAUCACCCCACAAAACACAUAAUACAACCAUAAAAGUGACUGCACUGUCCAAGUGCUUUAAUAUGGCAGAGAGAAUUAUUCUUAUUUUGCAGUCUGUACACAUAAAAACUGGUCAUUUUGUUAUGUGUCUGCGGGGAAAAUAGUUUUUCAAAUUUCCUCCGAAGGAAUUAAAAUAUCUGUAGAAGCCAUGGCUUGCUUUUAUAAUGUGGAAACCAUCUGACUUGCUGUGACUCACGCGGAUCCCUCCUUUUAUCAGGGAGAAAAUGACUUGCGUCAUGUUCUUUGUUCAUGUUUUUAUUUUCUCGUUUGACCGGUUGUAUAUAAAUGUAUGUUUUUGUUACUUUUGCUGUGCCAGUUAGAAAUUUCUCCCAUUUAAGUCUGAUUAUGUAUGCUUUGCCUAGGUCUUUCCAAAAUAAAAUUUAUGUAAAUGUUUAUUUUAUAUAAAAUAUAAUGAAAA